AGAUGUGAGGGCGAUCUGACUGCGAUCGCCCUACUGAUCACCAGAGUUGAUUCGGUGAUCUGGCUGGUUAGGCGGGUGUCGCCUUCUUCCCCCACCGCUCCAUUUGCGUCCCUCCUAAAGUUGUACCCUUGGUCGAAGAGGACGACCACCCCAAUAGGGGAGGACCGUUCCUGGGUCAAAUGUACACGAGUAGCUGCGCUCCCCUGCUAGAACCUGCACACAAGCUGUCAUGGGCAAGCAAAAGUCGAUUCAGAGUCACACAUGAGCAGGCCACUGACUGCAAAAUCAAGACAGUACCUGAAAGUGCUGUAGUAUUCU
rnacentral:snRNA from 1 species